CAAUGACCAUCUUCUCUAACCAAAGACCUCCAGAUGACUUUCCCUUUUGCCUGGCUCACAUCAAAAACACUGUGAUCCACUAAAACACAGGCCACAGAAUCAUUCGAAAUGGAGUGGGGAUUUGUGUUUAAAGCUACAUUAGUAGGCAGAGGAUGUGUCAUUACUGGGCAGCGUAAGCAGGCUCUGCUAGAAUGAAGCGAUUGAGGAAGAAAGAGGGAGAGGAAGAGAGAGAAAUGGAGAGUGGCACUGGAAAGGUUCUGUACCAGAGCUCUUUUGUUCAAAACGAACACACACCUGCCCCGGGCAAGGACACAAAGUGAUCCCAGAAAGGGACCUGCACAGAGAAAGACGGGAUUUGGAUUUUAAUGCAACAUAAAAUAAGAAUAGCAUAAAAAAUAAGAAAUCAGAGCUGUGUUAAUCUGAAGAUCAAGCAGGAAAAAAAAGAGGAGAGGGAUGGAGAGAAAAUGAAAGACAGAAAGAGGAGAGGAAAAACAAGCACAUGUGAUGUCAAGGAGAAGGUUUCCCAUUCUAAUACUCAUUCAACUACAGAAGGCCUAGUCACAACAGACGACUUCGUCACCACCGUCUCCACCACCCGCAGGACCACCACUCUCCGUACGCGGAGCGUGAAGAGACCCAAUCAGAACCUCAGCCGAAACACAAGCUCAGGAUGCAGUGUGGGUUCACUCUAUACAUCAGUCUGCUGUUCCCUCCUCCUGAUGGCCAUGAUGCAAGGGCUAUGAGGGUCCUUCGAUUAAAUUAUAAAUUCAAGUUAACAAAUAGAUAACAAAUAUUUUCAAAUAAUGUUGAUGUUUAACAUAUUAUGGAAAUAUAAAAUGGACUUAAACUUCCAAAACAGAACAGUCUCACAAUGUACCGAUUUAGUGGAGCAACAAACAGGAUU
ensembl:lncRNA